rnacentral:tRNA from 1 species
UGCGUGGUAGUCCCGAGAAACACAAAAUAUGGGUCUCAUAACCUGAAGGUCGCAGGUUCAAAUCCUGCCCCCGCAA